rnacentral:rRNA from 1 species
AUUGAACGCUGGCGGCAGGCCUAACACAUGCAAGUCGAGCGGAUGAAGGGGGCUUGCUCCUGGAUUCAGCGGCGGACGGGUGGGUAAUGCCUAGGAAUCUGCCUGGUCGUGGGGGAUAACGUCCGGAAACGGGCGCUAAUACCGCAUACGUCCUGAGGGAGAAAGUGGGGGAUCUUCGGACCUCACGCUAUCAGAUGAGCCUAGGUCGGAUUAGCUAGUUGGUGGGGUAAAGGCCUACCAAGGCGACGAUCCGUAACUGGUCCGAGAGGAUGACCAGUCACCCUGGCACUGAGACACGGUCCAGACUCCGACGGGGGGCAGCAGUGGGGAAUAUUGCACGAUGGGCGAAAGCCUGAUCCAGCCAUGCCGCGUGUGUGAAGAAGGUCUUCGGAUGGUAAAGCACUUUAAGUUGGGAGGAAGGACAGUAAGUUAAUACCUGACUGUUUUGACGGUACCAACAGAAUAAGCACCGGCUAACUUCGUG